AAGUCGUAACAAGGUUUCCGUAGGUGAGUCAUAAUCUUUUCUUUUUUGUUUUGUUUAUUAGUAAUCUUAAGUAGCAUUUCGCUAAUAUAAUUUCCAGGUGAACCUGCGGAAGGAUCAUUACCGAGUAAGGGUCUUCCAGGCCCGACCUCCAACCCUCUGUUUAACCAACCACGUUGCUUUGGCGGGCCCGUCCUUUGGGGCCGCCGGGGGCUUUACCGCCUCUGGCCCGUGCCCGCCGGUAGCCAUUUUAAAUUCUGAUAACUGUGCCGUCUGAGUAUAGAUAUAAAUCGUUAAAAACUU
rnacentral:misc_RNA from 1 species